rnacentral:rRNA from 1 species
GACGGAGGAUGCAAGUGUUAUCCGGAAUCACUGGGCGUAGAGCGUCUGUAGGUGGUUUAAUAAGUCAACUGUUAAAUCUUGAAGCUCAACUUCAAAAUCGCAGUCGAAACUAUUAGACUUGAGUAUAGUAGGGGUAAAGGGAAUUUCCAGUGGGGCGGUGAAAUGCGUAGAGAUUGGAAAGAACACCGAUGGCGAAGGCACUUUACUGGGCUAUUACUGACACUGAGGUGCGAAAGCGUGGGUAGCAAACAGG